UACAGAGGAUGCAAGCGUUGUCCGGAAUUAUUGGGCGUAAAGAGCUCGUAGGCGGUUUGUCGCGUCUGCUGUGAAAACCUAAGGCUCAACCUUGGGCUUGCAGUGGGUACGGGCAGACUAGAGUGCGGUAGGGGUGACUGGAAUUCCUGGUGUAGCGGUGGAAUGCGCAGAUAUCAGGAGGAACACCGAUGGCGAAGGCAGGUCACUGGGCCGCAACUGACGCUGAGGAGCGAAAGCAUGGGGAGCGAACAGG
rnacentral:rRNA from 1 species